rnacentral:rRNA from 1 species
UACGGAGGGUGCAAGCGUUAGUCGGAAUUACUGGGCGUAAAGGGUGCGUAGGUGGGGAUGUAAGUUAGAUGUGAAAUACCGUUGCUCAACAACGGCCGUGCAUCUAAAACUGCGUUUCUAGAGGGAUAGCGGAGAAAACGGAAUUCCACGUGUAGCGGUGAAAUGCGUAGAUAUGUGGAAGAACACCUGUGGCGAAAGCGGUUUUCUAGCUCAACCCUGACACUGAGGCACGAAAGCAAGAGGAGCAAACAGG